rnacentral:lncRNA from 1 species
UUAGAGCAUUAGGCAUUGCAUUUUGCAUCUCAUGUGAAAUAAGAAGGUCAUCCUCCAGAGUCUUUUCAAAAGAUGGAGAAGUUACAUGAUUCAAGUCUGAGGGUCUCUAUGAAUUGAUCAUCAACCAUCUGAGGCUUUGCAUUUCAUUAGGGUUUCUUGGUUCUUCAAAGGUCUUGAGCAUCAUUUUUGUCUGCAAGGAUAUAUUACCAUCAUCAUGGUUCUAUCAUCAUAAAGGGUUUCA